AGUGUUUAUACAAGGAUAAUAAACGUUUUCUCAUUUAACAUUUGGUUAAAAAAAAUGUAUCGAAGUGUAUACAUACACGGGAAUAAUACAAACUGCAUGGCUGGGCACUGGUUGUAUUGAGGCAACAUCAAUGUAAAACGAUACGCGCACGCGCGCGUGCAUGAAUAAAAUGGACAUGGCCCAGUGACUAUAUAUAUCGGUGUGUUCCCUUCCCGGAGAAAUACAGUGAAGUAAUUCCUGUCAGUGGCUACAUUUCUGAUCAACACUUUGACCUGACUAAGUUCUCCUACAGCCUAACAAUCAGUAUGGACACCUUGAUUGACAGUCUGCUCCCCAGUGUAUGGCAGGAAGUGAGCAUGGACGACAGGGGUGAUGGAUUCGAGGAUUUCUUUGUCAACGGCAAUCCAAAUAGGAAGGACGAGAACACACUCGAAAUCGUUAUCUCUGACGCGGAAGGAAAUGCCAAAACUGUUACCCUGAAAGGUGCCCAACCCAACAAGAACCCUUUAAACAAAAUCAGCAGAUGCGAAUUAAAGGUUGAUGGAGACAAAAACUUGAUCGGAAUGGAUUUAAACGGAGAUGUUGUUGUUUUGAAGAGCUAAGGUUGACCAUUAAUUGAAACAGACAUGGUGUAUAUAUAUAAUGGAACAUUCAUAUAUCUUUUAAAUCACCUCUAUGCACUUAACAUGACCUUGUCUUAAGCUUUUAACUUAUACCAUAUACUGUACUCAGUGGUCUGUCUGUCGUUAAAUCGUCCAUACCAAAACCGUAACCGGAAGUUAUUAAUAUUUAUUACAGCUGUGUUUGAUUGCCAUUUAAUUAGAUCACCUACGCGUUAAAUGUCUUGGAUGUGAUGGUCUAUACUGUCUAUUUACUAACUGCCGUACAUGAGAUGGCAUUGUGAGAAGAGAAUUCAUCAUCAGGCCGAUAUAAGCGAAAUUAGAGCUAGUGGAUUGGAUAUGUUGUACGUUUGAAAUACGCCGAUUGUGAAAUGAAAACUAAAAAAGGAGAUAAGAAUGUAACUACCUUUAUUACAAUGAGUAUUAUAGCCCGGAUGCUAAUGAUAUAUAUGACACAAAUUUAUUUCAAGUCUUCUGUUAAGGUAUUUCAAGAAAGAAAUGAUUUCAAGAGAACAAGCUAUACAGAAUAAUUUAAUAAAUACGGCAACCCUUCCAUUUUCGAUCGGGUUCUGAACUGCGGGGUAUACGUUGGAAUACAAAAGGAAGGACACAAAUAUGUCUUUUAUGAUCGUUCAAUUUGCUGAUGACUGCUGAUUAAAAAAUUCUUGCCAAUGUC